rnacentral:rRNA from 1 species
CGUAGGACACAAGCGUUAUCCGGAGUUACUGGGCGUAAAGGGCGUUCAGGCGGGUGAUUAAGUUCGCUAUGAAAGCGCCAGGCUAAACCUGGCGAGGCUGGCGGAUACUGGUCAUCUGGAGUGAGACAGAGGAAGGUAGAAUUCCGCGUGUAGUGGUGAAAUGCGUAGAGAUGCGGAGGAAUACCAGUGGCGAAGGCGGCCUUCUGGGUCUCAACUGACGCUGAAGCGCGAAAGCAUGGGGAGCGAACGGGAUUAGAAACCCCGGUAGUCCAUGCCGUAAACGAUGUGCACUAAACGUUCGGUCUCCGCGAGGGGGCAGGGUGUUGAAGCUAACGCGGUAAGUGCACCGCCUGGGGAGUACGGUCGCAAGGCUA